AGGAAUUGUCACCAACUGCAUUCGCCAGUGUUCUGCUCUUGUGCGGACCUGAACAGACUGGAUGAUGUUCACCCACAGUUCGUAGGACAAUCUACUUUAUCAUGUCUGCGGAUUCAAAUGGUAAUUUCAUCCAGAAACACCUUCAGAGACGUAUCCAGAAAUGUUUAAUCUGAGCGCUCUGUGUCCAAUAAGUUGACACAAAAUUUACCAUCACAGAGAGUUGAGAAUUCAGCAGUUAACUACUCAUCACUGGAGUGCAGUGUGGAGAAACAGGGCAAAAUGUAGCUAAGGACCAGACUGUGAAGACUAUUGAUGGCUGAGAAUAAGAGGAACUGAAUUUACACUCUCAGGUGAACAACUAGAAAAUUAUAAAUGAUAUAAGAAGCAGUAAGUUUACAGGACAUCAGGCAACACAGAAAAAUGAUCAACAAAUGAACAGCAAAUGAGGUGGGUUGUAUUAUUGGUUCAGCUAACUGAGCAAUGUCUCUAAGACCUUAAUUUUAUCCUUUUUUAACAUUUAUUUUCACUUCCCUACAUAUCUUGAUAACUCCAUGAUCUAACAGUUUAUAAUUCCUUUGCAGAUGUCUUCAGUUUCCUUUCCCUUCUCUACUUUUUUACAAUUAAAAAUGGACAAUCAUGGUGCCAUGAAUUGAAUUAUGUUCCC
rnacentral:lncRNA from 1 species